ACUAAGGGGUAAAAAAAUAUAUGUUUUGAGCAAAUAGUGUUUUUUAGACACAAGUGCAAACAUAAUUGAGUAGGCCUUUCAAAGAUUUGGUCUGAUGGUGCCCUCUGAUGUCAUCGGCCUCCCCCUUGCUUGAGGAACAAUAGAGGCGCAAUAGAGAACAAGAGGAGUGGCUCACUAACUUCUGGUUUAUUCCUAUUCAAUGUGUGUCUUAGUUGAGUUCCAGUCACUUCUAAGAAAACAUGAAACAUUAUUUUAUAGGUAGAUAAAUAGAUACUUCAACUGAAUGGAAGGUUCAGUUCUGUCACAGCCUUUUACAGUGUCAGAUUUAAAGGACCUGCUGUCUUGUCAGCUCACAGCAGUGUUUCGCUUGAUCAGAAUCCUUGACUUUAUUCUUAUCAUUUUUACAGCAUUAUUUGUAAAGACUUGUCAUUUGCGAAUGAGAGGUGCAGUAGCUCUGCUGGUGUUGCUGUUUUGUGUGUCUGGCACAUGGGCUCAGGGAGAGAGUGGAGGGUUCAGAACUGAGCUGAAGGUAGUGGAACAGAGAGUGGAGGGGUCAGAACUGAGCUGAAGGUAGUGGAACAGAGAGUGGAGGGGUCAGAACUGAGCUGAAGGUAGUGGAACAGAGAGUGGAGGGGUCAGAACUGAGCUGAAGGUAGUGGAACAGAGAGUGGAGGGGUCAGAACUGAGCUGAAGGUAGUGGAACAGAGAGUGGAGGGGUCAGAACUGAGCUGAAGGUAGUGGAACAGAGAGUGGAGGGGUCAGAACUGAGCUGAAGGUAGUGGAACAGAGAGUGGAGGGGUCAGAACUGAGCUGAAGGUAGUGGAACAGAGAGUGGAGGGGUCAGAACUGAGCUGAAGGUAGUGGAACAGAGAGUGGAGGGGUCAGAACUGAGCUGAAGGUAGUGGAACAGAGAGUGGAGCAGAGCAUCACUAAGUCUAAACUCCAGCAGAGGAUAAAGAUGAACAAACUGAAGAAAGAGAAUGCAGGUAUUUAAUGAAGGUGGAUUUUAUUGUUAACUGACCGGUUUAUUGGUGCGUAUUAUGGCUAUAGACUAACUAUUGUCCCAGAAGUACGCUGUGCGUUAUGAAAAUAAGAAAUGCACAAAUCAUUAUAGAAACAGAAUUUUACUUCCAUUGCAUUGUUUAUCAGACAAUCGGGCAUCCCGAAAAUCUAACUUGUCUCGAAAACGUUUGUACAGUUUGGCCUAGAAACUAAUAUGACCACUCUAUGGACAGACUCUCACGAACACGGUGACAUUCUCUGAUUUGGUCUACGUACCCCACAAGUGUCACUGGACUCGUCUGAAGGUAACCGGUACCAGUUGAAGCAAUUACUGGACAGUUAAAGUCAGAAGUUCACAUACACUUAGGUUGGAUUCAUUAAAACUUGUUUUCAACCACUCCACAAAUGUAUUGUUAACAAACUAUAGUUUUGGGCAAGUCGGUUAGGACAUCUACUUUGUGCAUGACACAAGUCAUUUUUCUAACUAUUGUUUACAGACAGAUUACUUAUAAUUCACUGUAUCACAAUUCCAGUGGGUCAGAAGUUUACAUACACUAAGUUGACUGUGCCUUUAAACAGCUUGAAAAAUUCCAGAAGAUAAUGUCAUGGCUUUAGAAGCUUCUGAUUGGCUAGUUGACAUCAUUUGAGUCAAUUAGAGGUGUACCUGUGGAUGUAUUUCAAGGCCUACCUUCAAACUCAGUGCCUCUUUGCUUGACAUCAUGGGAAAAUCCAAAUAAGUCAGCCAAGAAGAAACACCAUGGGACCACGCAGCCGUCAUACCGCUCAGGAAGGA